rnacentral:lncRNA from 1 species
CUUUCACGCCGGCAGUCGCGUGCUGUGUGUCCGUGUAGUGUAGUGUUUGUGACGGGUUCUGUAUAGAGGUGUAGAAUAGAAAAAUGAUCUACUCAACAAAAAAGAUGAUGCUGUCCUGCUUAGUCGCCAGCUGUAUGCUGAGUAUGGCGCUGGCAGCCAACGAGUACCUCCCCCCCAGCAAGGGGUACAACUACGACGUACCCAAAAUACCUUUCCCCACCAGAGUGAGUAUAGAACUAGCCAAAAAAAACUCACUUAAA